GCUGGGUGCAGUGGUUUGCACCUGUAAUCCCAGAACUUUGGGAGGCCGAGGCGGGAGGAUCAUUUGAGGUCAGGAGUUCGAGACAAGCCUGGCCAACAUGGUGAUACCCCGUCUCUA
rnacentral:SRP_RNA from 1 species